rnacentral:rRNA from 1 species
UGGAGGGCAAGUCUGGUGCCAGCAGCCGCGGUAAUUCCAGCUCCAAUAGCGUAUAUUAAAGUUGUUGCAGUUAAAAAGCUCGUAGUUGAAUUUCGGGAUCAAUAUGUCGGUCGUGCCUUCGGUACGUACUGGUAUCAUUGGUUUCUCCUUUCUGACGAACCAUGAUGUCAUUAAUUUGGUGUUAUGGGGAGUUAGGACUGUUACUUUGAAAAAAUUAGAGUGUUUAAAGCAGGCUUUAGCUUGAAUACAUUAGCAUGGAAUAAUGAAAUAGGACGUUCGAACCUAUUUUGUUGGUUUCUAGGAUCAACGUAAUGAUUAAUAGGGAUAGUUGGGGGCAUUAGUAUUCAAUUGUCAGAGGUGAAAUUCUUGGAUUUAUUGAAGACUAACUACUGCGAAAGCAUUUGCCAAGGAUGUUUUCAUUAAUCAAGAACGAAAGUUAGGGGAUCGAAGACGAUCAGAUACCGUCGUAGUCUUAACCAUAAACUAUGCCGACUAGGGAUCGGAUGAUGUUAAUUUUUUAAUGACUCAUUCGGCGCCUUACGGGAAAC